AGCAGUGGGAGCGGCCCUGCUCACAGCGGCUACUGAGAUCCGAAAGGCUUUUCAGAAGACGAGCUGCUCUGAUCAUCCUCAUUUUCUCCACCAGGAGUAAAUAGUUCCUGUUGCUCUGAUCCCAGGCUUCACCUUUUGAGUCUCAGCCGUCAGUGAGUUGUUCUGUCGGCGGCGACGCUGGUGUCUGACUGAACGCUGACAGCCCCCUGCAGCCGGCUGAGCGGAGAUGCUGCCGGUGCUGAACUUGCUGAGAUUUCUCCUGCAGUUGUGUCCACCGGGUAUCUGGGGGACCGGGUCCAGAACCCGGGCUGAGGGGGAGGAGGCCUGGUUCCACCAUAUGGUGAGGCGUUUGUGCUGCCAGCUGCCCUGUGGGGCUUCAGCCGCCAUGUUUCCACUGGACUGAUGGCCGGAUCACACACUGCUCAGGUUUCCUGUCUGACUCUCAGCAGGUUUUAUGGGCUGUUGCUCUGUUUUUAUCCGUGAGUGACUUCAUGCAGAAAUCAGCACUUAGCAUUUCUUUCACAAAUGUAAUCGGAGAUCAUCCCACUCUGCAGACUCUCUGUAAGGCGUACGAGGAGGAAGAGGAAGAUGAUUCGUUUUGUGUUCAGAGGCUUGGAUGGAAAAUCAUUUAGUCCUGAGUUUAAAAUGAAUCCAUCCAUCCAGACCGGGUUCCUUCAGUCUGGAUCUCCUGAUGAACUGACAGCUUCAUGUUUCAGCUGAAUUGUUUCCUCUUGUUUUGUCUCUCCUGUCAUCACUAAGAAGAAACAGAUUCAUCAUUCACUUAUUUUGUUAUUUGGCUUUGGUUGAUCAGAUUCAUGUCUUCCUGAUGAUUCCAUUCAGAUUCAUGUCCUGAAGAUGAAAUUAAGACUGUUUUCCCUCCUGAUGGUCCGGUCGACCCGGUUCUACUGGAACCAGAACAUCUGCUCCACCUGCAGCUGCUGUGGUUCUGAGUCCAACCAGCCUGUUCCCCUCCUGGCCUGUGGGGGCGCUGCACCAAGAAAUGACACUAAAACUUCUGAAGACACUGAGAGCAACUUCCUGUUUCACCAGAUGAAACAAGAUGGAGGAUUUCUCUUUAGUCUUUGUCUAAAGUUCAGGAGCCAUUUCUGCUGCUAGCGCUAGGCUAGCAUGUUAGCUUUGGUUGUGUUUUCCCAGAAUGCCUUUUUCUAUAGUCCACUUCCUGCUUUUGGAGCGGUCUGAGGUCCGCUUGACGUUCAUAUUUAAACCAAACUGGAGUUCACUUCAACUGAACCAGAGUUAGCUUAGCAUUCACACAUCACUAACCGAACCGGACUUUAUAGGAAAACGGACUGGAGUCCAAUGAGGUGGCCUGAAGGUCAUGUCCUGGUUUAACACCUGGUGGAGUCGGUGGCGAUGUCAAAGUCACAGCAGCUAGAAAAGCUGUCAGCUAACAGCUUUAACACAGUCACAGCUUUAAAGGCUCAUCUCCUUAAUUCAUCUUUCAACUUAUUCCCAAUCCCACCAGCAUCACUGCAGCUCUGGAGGGACGGCAGGACGACAUUCCAGCUCGUCUCCUUUGUGAAAACGUCUCCAUUAAAUGACAGCAGCUGACGGCAUCAAGCAGCUUUCUGAACAAUAAACCAGCAGGCUGCUGCAGCGCCGGCGGCGGCUGCAGCAUCGGCGGCGGCUGCAGCAUCGGCUGCUUAAGUCCACUGCACCGGGCCGGCCCGAGUAAGUCCUGGACGGUUUUAAUGAAGUCGAGUUUCUGGGCCAUCAGUUUAUUCUCUGAAUGGAAUCAACAGCUCAGCUUCACUCAGCUCACUGGAACAGAACUUUAUGUUUUAACUUUUAGAAUAACAAACUGAAGCACAAAAAUUGGUGCCAGACUCACAAAUAUUCAUUUCACACAAUUCUGAGUUGAUAAAAAUAAUGUUUUAUGUGUUGCUAACAGUUUUCUACUGUGUGCUGGAGAAAGCGACUCGCCUCUGCUGCAGCUGUCAGUGGGAACAACCUAAAACCGUUUCUGGGUUCUGAAUAUAUCCUCAUUUGACUCCAGAUGUGUUUGGACUGUGAGGUUCUGUGGGGUUCUAUUAGUUUCUGUGAGGUUCUGUGAGUUUCUAUGAGGUUCUGUGGGGUUCUGUGAGGUUCUGUGGGGUUCUGUGAGGUUCUGUGAGGUUCUGUGAGUUUCUAUGAGGUUCUGUGGGGUUCUGUGAGGUUCUGUGGGGUUCUGUGAGGUUCUGUGGGGUUCUGUGAGGUUCUGUGAGGUUCUGCAGGCUGGAGGAGCCUGCAUGUUUGCAGAGCCUGCAGUAAUUCUCAGAAGUUUGAGAGCAGAAACUUUCCUGAGAAAGCUUCGGUUCUUCCAACAGAGCAAAUCCAGGAUAAUCAGAUGAAAGUGUGCAGGCCUGAUGGGGCCUGAUGAUGAUGAGGCGCGAAUGAGAAUGAGUCCAGUUCACUGAGUUCUGAAUGCCGAGGAGCUGGAGACGAACCCGGCAGCUUCAUUCUUUAUGUUUGACACAAACAUCUGAGUUUUGGUUCAGAUUGGGUCAAACUGUUUUGGUUGGUUUUACCUUGACUGGGAUGAUGGUUCUGGUUCCCAGCAGGACGAAGCCGCCGGUCCGGUUCAGCCGCAGCGCAGCAGCUCUGUGGACACAAACCAGCUUCACGUGGAAACCAGGAAACUUUACAGAUCCAACAAUCAAAUCAGGCAAAAAGGAGAAAAACAGCAAAGUCCAAAUGAACUGAAGGAAAAAUGAAAAGCACAGAAAUCAACUUUUCCACUCUUUUGUUUUAUACAUUAAUUAAGCAUAAUGUUUCAUUUAUGCUUAAUUGAUUUGUUGAAAGGAAAAAGUUAUUGACAAAAUAUAAAUAUGUAAAUACAAUAUUUCAAGAUAACAUAAGAACUGAAUUUUCUAGAUUUCAGACUCAAACUUGUAUAAUUUUAUUAUUUCUCA